AUUAUACGGCGAAACUGCGAAUGGCUCAUUAAAUCAGUUAUCGUUUAUUUGAUAGUACCUUACUACUUGGAUAACCGUGGUAAUUCUAGAGCUAAUACAUGCUAAAAAUCCCGACUUCGGAAGGGAUGUAUUUAUUAGAUUAAAAACCAAUGCCCUUCGGGGCUCUCUGGUGAUUCAUAAUAACUUCUCGAAUCGCAUGGCCUUGCGCCGGCGAUGGUUCAUUCAAAUUUCUGCCCUAUCAACUUUCGACGGCUGGGUCUUGGCCAGCCAUGGUGACAACGGGUAACGGAGAGUUAGGGCUCGACCCCGGAGAAGGAGCCUGAGAGACGGCUACUACAUCCAAGGAAGGCAGCAGGCGCGCAAAUUACCCAAUCCCGACACGGGGAGGUAGUGACAAUAAAUACUGAUACAGGGCUCUUUUGGGUCUUGUAAUUGGAAUGAGUACAAUUUAAAUCCCUUAACGAGGAACAAUUGGAGGGCAAGUCUGGUGCCAGCAGCCGCGGUAAUUCCAGCUCCAAUAGCGUAUAUUAAAGUUGUUGCGGUUAAAAAGCUCGUAGUUGAACCUUGGGCCUGGCUGGCCGGUCCGCCUCACCGCGUGCACUGGUCCGGCCGGGCCUUUCCCUCUGGGGAACCGCAUGCCCUUCACUGGGUGUGCUGGGGAACCAGGACUUUUACUUUGAAAAAAUUAGAGUGUUCAAAGCAGGCCUAUGCUCGAAUACAUUAGCAUGGAAUAAUAGAAUAGGACGUGUGGUUCUAUUUUGUUGGUUUCUAGGACCGCCGUAAUGAUUAAUAGGGACAGUCGGGGGCAUCAGUAUUCAAUUGUCAGAGGUGAAAUUCUUGGAUUUAUUGAAGACUAACUACUGCGAAAGCAUUUGCCAAGGAUGUUUUCAUUAAUCAGGAACGAAAGUUAGGGGAUCGAAGACGAUCAGAUACCGUCGUAGUCUUAACCAUAAACUAUGCCGACUAGGGAUCGGACGAUGUUAUUUUUUUGACUCGUUCGGCACCUUACCCGAAAGUAUAGUUUCUGGG
rnacentral:rRNA from 1 species